rnacentral:tRNA from 1 species
AGGGGAAUGAAGUAAUCUGAAAGAAGCUGCUAACUAUCUUUUAAAGUGGUUAAAAUCCAUUUAUCCCCUA